rnacentral:rRNA from 1 species
UACGUAGGGUGCAAGCGUUGUCCGGAAUUAUUGGGCGUAAAGGGCUCGUAGGCGGUCUGUCGCGUCGGGAGUGAAAACUCAGGGCUUAACCCUGAGCCUGCUUCCGAUACGGGCAGACUAGAGGUAUGCAGGGGAGAACGGAAUUCCUGGUGUAGCGGUGGAAUGCGCAGAUAUCAGGAGGAACACCGGUGGCGAAGGCGGUUCUCUGGGCAUUACCUGACGCUGAGGAGCGAAAGUGUGGGGAGCAAACAGG